AGUGAACGCUGGCGGUAGGCCUAACACAUGCAAGUCGAACGGCAGCACAGUAAGAGCUUGCUCUUACGGGUGGCGAGUGGCGGACGGGUGAGGAAUACAUCGGAAUCUACUUUUUCGUGGGGGAUAACGUAGGGAAACUUACGCUAAUACCGCAUAUGACCUACGGGUGAAAGCAGGGGAUCUUCGGACCUUGCGCGAUUGUAUGAGCCGAUGUCGGAUUAGCUAGUUGGCGGGGUAAAGGCCCACCAAGGCGACGAUCCGUAGCUGGUCUGAGAGGAUGAUCAGCCACACUGGAACUGAGACACAGUCCAGACUCCUACGGGAGGCAGCAGUGGGGAAUAUUGGACAAUGGGCGCAAGCCUGAUCCAGCCAUACCGCGUGGGUGAAGAAGGCCUUCGGGUUGUAAAGCCCUUUUGUUGGGAAAGAAAAGCAGCAGGUUAAUACCCCGCUGUUCUGACGGUACCCAAAGAAUAAGCACCGGCUAACUUCGUG
rnacentral:rRNA from 1 species